GAUGAAGAACGUAGCGAAAUGCGAUAAGUAGUGUGAAUUGCAGAAUUCAGUGAAUCAUCGAAUCUUUGAACGCACAUUGCGCCCCUUGGUAUCCCGAGGGGCAUGCCUGUUCGAGCGUCAUUUCACCACUCAAGCCUGGCUUGGUGUUGGGCGACGUCCUCUUUGGGGACGCGCCUCGAAACGCUCGGCGGCGUGGCACCGGCUUUAAGCGUAGCAGAAUCUUUCGCUUUGGAAGUCGGGGCCCCGUCUGCCGGAAGACCUGCUCGCAAGGUUGACCUCGGAUCAGGCAGGGAUACCCGCUGAACUUAAGCAUAUCAAUAAGCGGAGAA
rnacentral:misc_RNA from 1 species